rnacentral:rRNA from 1 species
UACGUAGGGUGCGAGCGUUGUCCGGAAUUACUGGGCGUAAAGAGCUCGUAGGUGGUUUGUCACGUUGUUCGUGAAAACUCACAGCUUAACUGUGGGCGUGCGGGCGAUACGGGCAGACUGGAGUACUGCAGGGGAGACUGGAAUUCCUGGUGUAGCGGUGGAAUGCGCAGAUAUCAGGAGGAACACCGGUGGCGAAGGCGGGUCUCUGGGCAGUAACUGACGCUGAGGAGCGAAAGCGUGGGGAGCGAACAGG